UGCAAGAGUGAACCAGCUAACUGAAAUCAAAGGUGUGUCACUUUUGAUAACGUAAGGGAAAAUAAUGAUAUUACCUUACUAUUAGUGUCGUCCAAACACUGGUGCCAGAAGACUCGGUAAGGCCAGAGACGCGAACGUUAGUAGUCUUUAUCAGGCGUAAAGGGUUUGUAGGCGGCUUUAAAUGGAAACAAAUUAAAGCUAGAAUUUAACAGGGGUUGUAGUAAAGAAUGCCUAGUGUAAGGGUAAAAUCUGCAGAUAUUAGGUGGACUAUUAGAGGCGAAAGCUUUCUUCCAAUUCAGAUUGACGCUGAGAAACGAAGGUGAGGACAGGAAAAAGGAUUAGAGACCCUUGUACCCCUCACUGUAAACGAUGAAUGGUGGUUGCUAGUAUUAUUUGACUAGUGGCGAUGCUAACGCGUUAACCAUUCCGCCUUGUGAGUACGACUGCAAAGUUGAAAACAAAAAAAUUAGUCGGUCUCGAAGCAAACGGA
rnacentral:rRNA from 1 species